rnacentral:rRNA from 1 species
GGGCCCGCACAAGCGGUGGAGUAUGUGGUUUAAUUCGAUGCAACGCGAAGAACCUUACCAGGGUUUGACAUCCUGCGAAUCUCUUGGAAACGAGAGAGUGCCUUCGGGAACGCAGUGACAGGUGGUGCAUGGCUGUCGUCAGCUCGUGUCGUGAGAUGUUGGGUUAAGUCCCGCAACGAGCGCAACCCACGUCUUUAGUUGCCAGCAUUUAGUUGGGCACUCUAUGGAAACUGCCCGUGAUAAGCGGGAGGAAGGUGUGGAUGACGUCAAGUCCUCAUGGCCCUUACGGGUUGGGCUACACACGUGCUACAAUGGUAGUGACAAUGGGUUAAUCCCAAAAAGCUAUCUCAGU